CCUCCUCUACAAAACUCCCCUUGUUCUCUUAUGACUGGCUCCGCUUAGCUCCAUCGCCGGAAAUCGUCCACGGCGGCGGAGAACCACCAAAUUCCACCAAUAUAACACCCCGGAUUCCUCUCAUCCUCCUAUAUCCAAAACCAUGGUUUGUUUAUCUCAAAUGUAAAGCGUGCUCUUAGAAACUCCGAUCUAAACUUUCUGUCUGAGUUCCAAAAACUGUCCAAACCCGACCAAAUGCAUACCACACUGUCCCCAGACUUCCCCCAUUCCUAAUAUUUGGCGAAAACCUCUCGAGUCCUGGCAUAAAUGAAGGAAUUACAAAUUUUGGGUUCAGGCCGUUUCAACUUGUUUUGGGGAGGUUUUCUUGGUCGAGUGAUUCGUUCAGUAAGUUUUCUUUGGUAUUCUAAGUUAAUUUCUGCUAGUAUAGUUCACUGCUUUCCUCUCCUUCUUCUCUGUUCAAUUAGGAAAUUUCUGGUUGUUCAUAGCUAAGUUUGAUUUCAUGCUUUCUUGGUUGUUUAUUUUAGUAGGAUAGUUUAAUGUCGCUUUCAAUUCGUUUGAUCGCCUUUUUAAUCAAUAAAUCCUGCCUAGAGUUAAUUUGCUUUUAAUUCAUGCUUUGUUUUUUAGUUAACCAUAGCCUUAGUUUAGAAUCGUCAUGAUUAAUUGGUUUGGGUCAUUAAUUUUCUGUCUGUAUUUGUUAGUGAUAAGCUUAGGUUAAUUUCUUCCUCUGUAUUGAUUUUGAUUGCUUAAUUGAUGUUGGGUCAUUGAUCAAGUAGACUGUUCUUGGUUAUGUUCGUAUGAAAAUGGGAUUUGGAAGUUUGUUUGGGACUGAUUUCAGUAGUAUUAGCUGCUUGUUCAAUUUUUGUGUUGUUGGAGAUAAUGUUAAUAUUGUUGUUUGGGUAUAGCUGAUAGUGCACUUAUUAUUAACCUUAGUUAUUUUUUUGCUAGGGGUAAGGUUUGGGUUGAGGUUAGUUAUAGUCAGUAGUUUCAGGGGGUUCACAAGGGCUUUUUAGGGAUAGAAAAGGGUAGAAUCUUUAGGAAUUAAAACAAGGGAAGGGUAGUAUAGGAAUUGUCUUGCUAAAAGGGUAUCCUUGAGGCUUCUAGAAUAGGACUUUUGUUUAGAUUUUAAUAGACUUAGGGCAGUAACUUGAGUAGCAAGUUAGAAAAUAAGGGAUUAAAUAUGAAAAUAAGCAAGGGCUGUUGAGGCAAAUCUAAAAUCUGAGGGCUGCCCUUAUUUUUUCCUAUAUAAGGGCACUAAGUGCCUUGAGCAGGGGGUCUUCAACUUUCAGUCCAAAAAACCAAAGAAAAAGCUUUCCUCUUUUCUCAAAAUUUCAGAUUAACUAGUAGAUUCAAACAUUCAAAAAUACAAAAACUGAAAAAACUGAAAAACCAAAAAAUAUUUUUUCACUAUUUCAUUGAUUAUUGAGUGAUUUCCAGUUUUUUGUACUCUUCAGUUCUAGUCGAGAUUUUAGUUCUAGCCUGUAUAGAAUUUGCUUUAUAGCUGGUUCAAUGGAGUUUGGGGUUUAUCUGGUUUGAAUUCCAGAUGUGUAUGCUUCUAGUAGGUUUUCAGAAGUAAUGAGGCUCAGUUUUGGGAGCUAUUUUGCAUUUUGAAUGUGUAGUGAGUUGAUCUAUUGGGGUCUGUUUGCUCAAUGAGUAUUGCUGCGUUUUAAAAUCACUUCCUAAUUGCUCUUUUGGUUUGGUAUCGCAGGAUAUUGUUUGUUGGUGGCUGCUCGAAAUUACUGCUUGGGCUGACUCUUUCCUGUCUUGUUUCUGUUUGC
rnacentral:lncRNA from 1 species